AUGGCAAACGAGAUCAUCCUACGUUUUGACAUAGCCCAGGAGCGCAAGCAGCUGUCGAGCGAGGAGCUACAGCUGCGGAAGCAGCUCAAGCUGCGCAUACUAGGUCUAGCUGCGAUCGACAGAGCUCGCAAACGGCAGGCCUCGCAGGUCACCUGGCUCCAUGCGGGCGACGUCAAGACGGCAUUCUUCCAGGCCAAAAUCAACUCCGGGCGCCAGAAAAACUUCAUCCAUGCCCUCCACACUGGCGACGCCAUCGUCACCUCCCACGGUGACAAGGAGCAGAUCAUCCAUGAGCACUUCAAAUCCACCUUGGGGACAAUGAUGCCUCGCUCUUGCACCGUCAACUGGAACACCGUCCGCUUGCCAACUUUGCCCGCAGCAGGCCUCGACAAUCCGUUCUCCGAAGAGGAGGUGUGGGUGGCAAUCUGCAAGUCUCCACAAGAAAAAUCGCCAGGGCCAGACGGCUUCAGCGGCUCCUUCUUUCGCUCCUGCUGGCCCAUCAUCAAAGACGACGUCAUGGCAGCCUUCCAUCAGUUCUACAACCUUGCAGGGCGAGACAUGUCCGUGAUCAACAACGCGGCAAUCAUCCUUCUGCCUAAGAAGGACAGGGCGACGGAGAUCAAGGACUACAGGCCCAUCAGCCUGAUCCAUUCAAUCACCAAGCUCAUCUCCAAGGUCCUCUCCAUUAGGCUUGCCUCCGUCAUCGGCUCAAUCAUCUCGCCAGCACAGACGGCAUUCCUGAAGACGAAAUGUAUCCACGACAUCUUCCUCUACGUGCAAAACUCCGUCAGGGCCCUGCAUCACCACAAAGCACCGUGCCUUCUAAUGAAGAUAGACAUAGCGAAAGCAUUCGACACCGUCUCCUAG
rnacentral:rRNA from 1 species